GCUCCCGUCGUUCAACGGAUAGGACGCGACCUUGCGGAGGUUGUAAUGUCAGUUCGAUUCUGGCCGGGAGCACCA
rnacentral:tRNA from 1 species